AUUGAACGCUGGCGGCAUGCUUUACACAUGCAAGUCGAACGGUAACAGGCCGCAAGGUGCUGACGAGUGGCGAACGGGUGAGUAAUGCAUCGGAACGUGCCCAGUCGUGGGGGAUAACUACUCGAAAGAGUAGCUAAUACCGCAUACGUUCUAUGGAUGAAAGCGGGGGACCGUAAGGCCUCGCGCGAUUGGAGCGGCCGAUGUCAGAUUAGGUAGUUGGUGGGGUAAAGGCUCACCAAGCCAACGAUCUGUAGCUGGUCUGAGAGGACGACCAGCCACACUGGGACUGAGACACGGCCCAGACUCCUACGGGAGGCAGCAGUGGGGAAUUUUGGACAAAGGGCGCAAGCCUGAUCCAGCAAUGCCGCGUGCAGGAAGAAGGCCUUCGGGUUGUAAACUGCUUUUGUACGGAACGAAACGGCUCUGGUUAAUACCCGGGGCUAAUGACGGUACCGUAAGAAUAAGCACCGGCUAACUACGUG
rnacentral:rRNA from 1 species